AACGAACGCUGGCGGCAUGCCUAACACAUGCAAGUCGAACGAGACCUUCGGGUCUAGUGGCGCACGGGUGCGUAACGCGUGGGAACCUGCCCUUAGGUUCGGAAUAACUCCCCGAAAGGGGUGCUAAUACCGGAUAAUGUCUUCGGACCAAAGAUUUAUCGCCUUUGGAUGGGCCCGCGUUGGAUUAGCUAGUUGGUAGGGUAAAAGCCUACCAAGGCGACGAUCCAUAGCUGGUCUGAGAGGAUGAUCAGCCACACUGGGACUGAGACACGGCCCAGACUCCUACGGGAGGCAGCAGUGGGGAAUAUUGGACAAUGGGCGAAAGCCUGAUCCAGCAAUGCCGCGUGAGUGAUGAAGGCCUUAGGGUUGUAAAGCUCUUGUACCCGGGAUGAUAAUGACAGUACCGGGAGAAUAAGCACCGGCUAACUCCGCG
rnacentral:rRNA from 1 species